GGGGUGUUAGCUCAGCCGGGAGAGCGCUACGCUGGCAGUGUAGAGGUCAGGGGUUCGAUCCCCCUACGCUCCA
rnacentral:tRNA from 2 species